UACGUAGGGUGCAAGCGUUAUCGGAAUUACUGGGCGUAAAGCGUGCGCAGGCGGUUGUGCAAGACAGAUGUGAAAUCCCCGGGCUUAACCUGGGAACUGCAUUUGUGACUGCACGGCUAGAGUGUGUCAGAGGGGGGGUAGAAUUCCACGUGUAGCAGUGAAAUGCGUAGAUAUGUGGAGGAAUACCGAUGGCGAAGGCAGCCCCCUGGGAUAACACUGACGCU
rnacentral:rRNA from 1 species